rnacentral:lncRNA from 1 species
GCCGUCCCCCACCCCCGAGCCGCCGGGGAUGCCCGUCCGGGCGCGCGAGAAAGUGUGGGAGGAGCUCGCCCCCUACAGGACGACGCGCCCCCCGCCAGCCAGUUUGGGGGUUCGGUGACGCUAAUGAGAAACGACCAUGGAGUCACCCAGUCCUCCCAACCUUGUGAGAUCGUGGUUGAACUGCAAACACCGAUUGGCCUUGAAUACAAGAGCUGGGCAAAAAUCAACAGAAGUGUUCUGUGAAAAUCAGUGAGCUCAAUGACCUGGUAACUUAGUGGUAAAGAA